rnacentral:snoRNA from 1 species
UUUCCCUCUCCCUUGCUCUCUCUCUAAAAAAUCAAUAAAAACAUAAAAAAAGAAAUUUACAAGCCAGGGACAAAGUAACUCCGUAUUUAUCCCAGCUUGGCUUUUAAUCUAUGUCAUGCCUGGUUCGUGCCCUGGACACCUGG